UGGGCAGUAGCUCAGUGGUAGAGCUCCCGCUUCGUAUACGGGAAAACCCGGGUUGGAUUCCAGGCUGUUUCC
rnacentral:tRNA from 1 species